rnacentral:rRNA from 1 species
UACGUAGGGUGCAAGCGUUAAUCGGAAUUACUGGGCGUAAAGCGUGCGCAGGCGGUUGUGCAAGACCGAUGUGAAAUCCCCGGGCUCAACCUGGGAAUGGCAUUGGUGACUGCACGGCUAGAGUGUGUCAGAGGGGGGUAGAAUUCCACGUGUAGCAGUGAAAUGCGUAGAGAUGUGGAGGAACACCGAUGGCGAAGGCAGCCUCCUGGGCCAAUACUGACGCUCAUGCACGAAAGCGUGGGGAGCAAACAGG